ensembl:snRNA U6 U6 spliceosomal RNA
GUUGAGAACCACUGACAUGUACUAAAAUUGGAACAAUACAGAGAAGUUUAACAUGGCUCCUGUGCAAGGAGGACACUUAAAUUUGUGAACCAUUUAAUAUUAAA